rnacentral:rRNA from 1 species
GUGAGGAAUAUUGGUCAAUGGGCGGGAGCCUGAACCAGCCAAGUCGCGUGAAGGAAGAAGGAUCUAUGGUUCGUAAACUUCUUUUGCAGGGGAAUAAAGUGCAGGACGUGUCCUGUUUUGUAUGUACCCUGAGAAUAAGGAUCGGCUAACUCCGUGCCAGCAGCCGCGGUAAUACGGAGGAUCCGAGCGUUAUCCGGAUUUAUUGGGUUUAAAGGGUGCGUAGGGGGUUUGAUAAGUCAGCGGUGAAAGUUUGCAGAUUAACUGUAAAAAUGCCGUUGAAACUGUCGAACUUGAGUGUAAAUGAGGUAGGCGGAAUGCGUGGUGUAGCGGUGAAAUGCAUAGAUAUCACGCAGAACUCCGAUUGCGAAGGCAGCUUACUAAGCUACAACUGACACUGAAGCACGAAAGCGUGGGGAUCAAACAGGAUUAGAAACCCUGGUAGUCC